GCAAGCGCAGCAGCAGGUCCAGCAGCAGCAGCAGCAGCCCCAACAGCAGCAUCAGCAGCAACAACAGCAAGCUAACUCCCCAGGAGGUGGAAAUGUGGGGAAAAGUAGUCCCUCGCCGGGAAAUUCGGCAUCUCCUGGAACUGUAACAGCAGCGAACAAAUCACAAACCGAACCUAAACCGGUCGAGUGCAAUUUGUGCCAUCGGAAAUUCAAAAACAUACCGGCUCUCAAUGGUCAUAUGAGACUGCAUGGCGGUUACUUCAAAAAGGAUGCUGAGAACAAAAAGAGUGAAAAGAAGGAGGUUGUUGGACCACCGCUGCAAACUGCAUCUGUCAGUGUAAGGGCACUCAUCGAGGAAAAGAUUAUACAGAAAAGAACGACUGCAGCCGACACAAGCACAAAUCAACAGCCCCGGACGAAUAUGACGGUUUUUACCACACAAGCCGACAAUGCGUCGCAGAUUUCCGGUAAAACGAGUUUCGCGGUGCCAGCACCGCCGCCAUUGGCCUCCGCGGACAAGGUUCGCAGACUUUCGGACGGCGAACACUUCCGGCAGCCCAACGUCACCGUUUCCGGCCACGCGACCGUGCAGAAACAGCUACAAGAAGCGCAAACCCAGGCACAGGCGCAGGCGCUGGCCGACAUUAUUCUGAAGGGGACUAAGAUGGCUGUGAAAAGAACAACUUCCGAUCCCGGCCAGAGACUGCACUUGACGUACCAGCCAUCGGUUCAGUCGACGAAUAAUCAGCAACAACAACAGCAGCAGCAGCAGCAGCAGCAACAACAACAGCAGCAGCAGCAGCAACAGCAGCAACAACAACAGCAGCAAAAUAAUCAACCUCAAGCACAACCCGCAGUUACAGACAGUUUCUCUAUGACUGGUUAUUCUGAAGACGGUGGUUAUUUCAGUCCAAGUCUGCAAGAUGAAGUGUUCCAGCAAGUCACCGCUGUUCCUGACAGUGUUCUGCUUCAUGCUACUCAGUUGGAUUCUCUUCAGUUUCAGACCGCGAGUCUGCUGCAAGAACAAUCGACGGAGCAACUGCAGGACAUUACUCUGGAGGAUCGAUACUCGUCGCAGCACACGGUGAACCCGGACCUGCAGGCGUUGGUCAACUCUCCAUUACCCGAUUCACUGGCCGAAUUCAGUACUUAUGGUGCCCAGUACACAGAAAGUCCACAUACCUUGCCCGCACAAUCCCCGUUGCCGUCACCAUUGACCAGACACGACAGUCCCAGUUUCACAUAUCCAACACCUCCAGCGAGUCAAGAGGGUCUCCUGACGGGUAGUUUUCCUCUGUUGAGCCCGCAAGAGGACCCAGAAAGCGUCAGACAAGUGUCGUCGCCUUUAUCCGCGGCUUUCUACACGACAACCAUGUCAUCCGCGGCGGCUGUCGAGGAAGCGCUCAGCGAAGUGUUGCCGGCCGAAUCGGAAGCGGACGCGGAUCUGUACGGUUCCGGUUCGCCUAAUCCGCAUUCGCCACUGCCAAGUCCUUUGUCCGCGACCCCAGCACCGUCGCCCUUGUCGUCGUUGCCGCCAUCGUCGGUGUCCUCGCCAGGACCAGUGUCGUUCACGGGCACCAGCUUCCCGGUAUCUCCCCACCACGCUCUGCAAAGCCAAAUGAUGCCUAAUUCGGAGGAUCCGUUACUCUCCUCGACCCCGAAGGACUUCACCACCGCCAGUCGAAGACGGUUCGAAUUUCAGUCGUACAAGUUCAUCGCCAGCCAGAACCUGGUGGACUUCGGUCUGGGCAACGGUAGUCUGGCGGGAAUCGUGGUCGACAACAACGGCGAGUUCAAGCUGAUACAAACUGCCGGGUUGCAGAAGACGAACGUGCUGGUUCAGACGGGCUCCCUGAGCCCGGCUCUCACCUUCAAGAAGGAGAUGCGACUGACGACGCCGAAGGUGGAGCCUGUCACCGUAAACCUGGGUCUGAAUGUGCACACCAACCAUCAGUACAACGCUGGACAGUUCAACCAACAGCAACUAGUGAACCCGGCCAAGUUCCUCAUCCAGACGAACCCGGCCAAGAACUGUAACUUCAGACAGAAGACACCCAGCGGUAGCAGUUUGCCGAUCCCCGUGGAGCAGAUCAAGGAAGAGCUACUCGACGAAGACGUGUUCCUUAAUCCCAGCAACGUACCCGCUGGAAGCCCGGUCAGACAGUGCAGGAAAAGGCCGCGUAUGGACGGGAACUUGUACGCCAAUCAUUCGUAUCCAUCGAGAUUGAGGAAGGCCUGCGAUCGCCAUUGGGAUAGCAGUUACACACCGCCGCCCAUAUUGGACCCUUCCCGUCCUGGACCUGGACUGUACGCCAGGUUGCAUCAGUACGAGAGGGACUCCGACUUCAGCUCGGACGAUUCUCAAGGGAACGAUGGACCUCCGCCUAGGAUCAACAUCGGAACGAGGUAUCAAGCUACUAUACCGCCUGUGGGAAGUGACGGCGACAGAGGAAAGGGAGAGCCGGAAGCUGAUCAUCUGCUGUGGGAUCCUGGUAUAAAUAACGUGCUGACGGAUAAUGAACUGGAGAUGUAUCUGCAAUUUGCAUGCUGCGCUGCGGUGCCUGGUGGAGGAAGAAACAAAGAGUAUGCUCUUCAUCUGCUACACAUGUGCAGGGGAAACAUUCAUGAAGCGAUGCUGAAGCUGAUGAGACCAACGCCAUUAUUGCCAGCUGAACAUCCGUUGCUCAGUUACGAGUGUCACGAGUCCGACCGAUGGACGUCGCAGGAAAUGGACGCUUUCUAUCAGGGCCUGCUGAAGUACAACAAAGACUUCUCCGCGAUUUCGCGAGACGUGGCUGGCAAAUCGGCGAAACAAUGCGUGCAAUUCUAUUACCUGUGGAAGAGGCUCUGUCCGGACGAAUACAAGAGGCUGCGUGUUCGUCAUGGCAAACCAAAGAUUAAGACAGAGAGCAAGGAUUGCAAGGACACCAGAGAGCUUCGCGACGCCAUCGCGUCUGUCACGGAGAUGGACUUCAGCGAGGACAAAUCGAUUCUCCACCGCACCCUGUUACAGACAAACGAAAGAGAAAAUUCGGCUACCCUAACCACCAGCGAUGGAGAGCUGAGAUUAUUUGCAUACGAUUGCCCAGAUAGCUUUAGCGGAAGCGUAACAGUAACGAUGGCCGGGAGCACCCAAACCGCCCAAACCGGCAAUACCGGCCACGCCACAGUCAACACCAACUCACAAACUCACACUAGUUCUGAGCAACAACUACCCGUGCCCACCCCACUUCACUACCCCUGCAAGAUUUGCGGGAAAGUUUUCAACAAAGUGAAAAGCAGAAGCGCGCACAUGAAAUCGCACAGGCCGGUGCCCUCGCCCGAUUCAACGGGUCAGGAAUCUAAGAGGCCUGUCCAGCAGCAGUCGAAGGUGCAGCAGUCGCAGCAGUCCAAUCAGCGCCAGCAGCAACAGCAGCAACCGCAGCAGCAAUCACCGCAGCAACAGCAACAGCCGCAACAACAAUCGAGCAGCGUAUCACCGCAGGCCCAAGACUACAAUCAGCAGCAACUGCCUUCCAGCAAUGGCGACACCGGAGCUCAGAAGCCAGCCCACUUAUGGCACAACCCGACACGGCUUAGGCCACCAUAGGACGACGCCCAGCCGGUCCAACUAAAGUUACCUUAACGAAGGCUGUAAACGUGAAAAGGGAUUAACUGUUGACGGUGCUCCGCCAUAUCGUCGUGCACGAACUAUGGUUUCGUGGACUAUGGAGGGUGCACGAUGAGCGGUCUCCCUCGCGGAAGAAGGCUUUUCUUUCGGUUUUCAUCGAGCACAACGGACCUUCUUCAUCGACAAUGGCCUAGAGAGAAGAGACUCUUUAUCAACGAGCAACCAUCCAAACUACCCGGAUAGAGUUAAGUUGGAACGCGACUUAGCUGAUAUAUUCGCCACGAACGGUGGCGAUAUUGAACGAUUAUCGCGAUCAUCGAUGUACCUAAUCGCACGUGAAAUGUUCCCAGGAUUGUGCCACGCAAGACAUUACUGUUACCUGUUGCUUCUUCUGUCGUUUUAUCAUUGUUCCCUUUUCUUCUAUACCUUCUUCGCACUUUAUGUACCUUUCUUUCUUCUGGAUUUUUUUUAUUUCGAGGUACGGUGGCGGGGGGUGGGAGUACAUGGUACCUGGCGGAAUUUUCUAUUUUAUAUCUGGGAAAUUGUUUUGUGAUUUUUUUAGUUAGAGGUAUAGAGAUGUUAAGUUUUUCGAUUGGUAUAUUUGUAAGUUUGGAAUUUUUUAUUGGUGAUUUGUAAAAUUCUUAAA
rnacentral:misc_RNA from 1 species